rnacentral:rRNA from 1 species
AACGUAGGAGACAAACGUUAUCCGGAGUGACUGGGCGUAAAGGGCGUGUAGGUGGUUGUGUAAGUCUGGCGUGAAAUUUUUCGGCUUAACCGGGAAAGGUCGUCGGAUACUGCAGAACUAGAGGACGGUAGAGGCGUGUGGAAUUCCGGGUGUAGUGGUGAAAUGCGUAGAGAUCCGGAGGAACACCAGUGGCGAAGGCGACACGCUGGGCCGUACCUGACACUGAUGCGCGACAGCAUGGGGAGCAAACAGG